rnacentral:misc_RNA from 1 species
GAUGAAGAACGCAGCAAAAUGCGAUAAGUAAUGUGAAUUGCAGAAUUCAGUGAAUCAUCGAAUCUUUGAACGCACAUUGCGCCCGCCAGCAUCCUGGCGGGCAUGCCUGUCCGAGCGUCAUUUCAACCCUCAAGCCCCCGGGCUUGGUGUUGGGGAUCGGCGAGCCUCCGCGCCCGCCGUCCCCUAAAUCUAGUGGCGGUCUCGCUGUAGCUUCCUCUGCGUAGUAGCACACCUCGCACUGGGAAACAGCGCGGCCACGCCGUUAAACCCCCAACUUCUGAACGUUUGACCUCGGAUCAGGUAGGAAUACCCGCUGAACUUAAGCAUAUCAAUAAGCGGAGGA